AUUCUAUCAAGAGAGGCGGAGGGAAUGGCCCGAUGAAGCCCGGCAACCUACAUUAGCGAGGUGCUAAAUCCAGCAGCAUGUUGAGUAAUCAACAGCUGAAAGAUAGAUG
rnacentral:ncRNA from 2 species